UCCCCCAUCCCAAGCAGGGGGAGUGAGCGAGCGGCUGUGUGGGGCUUAGUUGCUGACUGGGGUUAAACCACAACAGGGCUGUUUUGGGUUGGUUUUUAUUUUUUCCCUUGUGAAGAGGUUGCUGUGCUGAAAUGGUGCUUUCUUUGCAAAAUGACAAAUUGAGUGGGUCCCCCCUCCUGUUGCACGUGCAAUUGCCUUGGUGCCACUGGGGUCCUUCUGCAGCUGCAGGAGUGUAAGAACAAACGGGAGAGACAAGCGGUUAACCAAAGCAGGACAAAUGGAAAACCAAGAUGCUCAGUAAAAUACUUAGCAAACUGUUAUGAGCAAGGAAAAGGUUGUUCCUCUUCUAUUUAUUAUAAGGUUUGGAAGCAAGGCACUGCCUGCUUGCAGAGAGCUGAAUACCUGCAGUAAAGCCUUGCCUUCUAUUUGCACAUUUCCUUGAGUUAAGGCAGGGAAGAUGAUAAAACGCUUUUGAUCAGAGGCACUUAAAUAGCAGAAGUCUCCUGUACAAGCAUGUUUUCCUGCUCUGAUGUACUCAAGAGCGUGUCUCAGCCAGGGCUCGGUGGCUGCGAUGAUGAUGCACGGCACGUGGUCGUGGUGGCAUCUUGCACUGGCAGACCUGGGACGGCCCCUCCUCGGGAGCAGGAGGUAAUGCACAUUUCAUGUCAGCCUUGUCCCGGGUCCCUCGAGCCAACGUGGCCACGGCUCUGCAGCGAUGUUUGGUUGUUCUGGGAUGGAUAUUUGCUCUCGGCUGCAUGUCUUUUACAAGGGCACAAAUGUAAUGUCAAGAGAAACCACUUCAGUAAUGUACUCAAAAGUAAAUAUUUUAUACGGUACUAUAGUAAUGCGACGUACCGCCUUCUUGACAUACUUUGCUUUUUGCCCAAGGUCUGGGAUUUGGGGCCGUUUGCAGGGCUGGAUUCCUGCGUCGUCUUCUCUCCAGGGCCUUGUGUGCCCUUUUCACAAGGUGCUGAAUUUCUUUCUGUCCCUAUAAAAUGGUAAGAGCAACUCAGUCGCAGUUUCUGGAAAAAAGUGAAUUCUGAUUAUCUGAUGGUUAUUGUUUUAAGUUCUCAGGAUCAAUAGCGCUGUAUUAAAGCAAGGUACUUGCUCCUUUUCGAGGUGCAAUGUGAAAGGAGAUUCAGGAUGAUUAAUGUCCGGCAGCCCGCGUGCUGGGUGCCAGGGACUUCAGUUGAGGAACAGCUAGAAGGCACAGGCCAGUGAGUUUUCACAUAAAUGUAUAUACCUUUAUAUCUAAUUUGCACUUACUGAUACCCCAGCUGUAGUAAUUGGGUGAUGACUGACUGCCUUAGCAACUUCAUCGUAGGCAUUUGCAAGACAGGGCGCGUUCUGGAAAGCUCGGGCUGCAAACCAAGGUGUCUGCAAGAUGUAAAUCUUACUUAUCUGACAGCUUUAAACAAUAUCAGCUAAGUGUUUGUCUUUUUGACCAAACCCAAAGGGCCUGCACAGCACCAACAUCUCUGUCUCACUGGCACAAGACAUCAUCAGCGGUGUCUGGCACUGGUUUUUAUCCCACCCCAUACCUCCGCCUGGGGAAGGCUGUGUCAGAUAUGGCAAGACACCUCAUCCCCGCCUUGCCUGUGCCACAAAGGCUGGUGACAGGUUGUUAAACCCCUGAUGCAAAGGGCUGGGUAUCGUGUGCGGAGCAACGAGCGCUCAAAGUGCAUUUUUGCAGAGGACUAUAAAUGCUCUCGCAUUACCUGGCGGUUACGUUCCAAUCAAUAUGGUUUUCACAGACCAGGAUUAGUUAUGUCACCUUUUGUACUCCAAGGUAACUCAAAGUACUUCAUAAAGUAAUGAGUUUAGCUAUAGAUAGCACAGGUUAAUGGCGUGGCCAUUACAUACUCAGUGAUAAAGCUUCCGUGCGGUCUUGGAUAUUAUAAAUCUGGUUUAUUAAGAAUGGAAAUAUUGACAAAGACCCAAUUCUGCCUUAUUCCUUCUGUAGCCUCCCAGGGAUUUUUGACAAGCCACUUCUGGCAGCUUCCAGCACAGAUAGAGAGAGACUUUAAGCUCUCAGAGGAAAACUGCUACUUUAGGGCUCUGCCUCGUGUGGGAAAGGAGGACGUCGUAAAUAAUAACCCGAGGAUCGCUGCCAUCUGAGCAGAGAGAAGUGCCCGUGAGGGUCCUGGCGAAGCCCGUCCCCUUUGGGUACCCUCGCUUGUCCUUAGCGCCUUUCCGUUUACACCGGGAUUAAGAGGGAUGCUGCUGCUCUGGCUAAGGAGUGCUCGUGGCGUGGUGCUGCCAUCGCUGUGGCUGGACGGAGACGUGCCGGGGGUAUUUUCGAGCACUUUCGACCCUGCUUGGAAAAGGGAGAGCGAUUGCUGCGCAAUACGGCUGCUCACGGGGUCUUCUUCGCAACAAAUGUACAUACUACUACUAUUAAAUACAGCCAAAGAAGCCAAAGCUCAGUCUCAGGGCUCCUGUUAGCACCAGUACACGCUACCGCUGGGCAGAAGGGAUGCGCGCGCCAAGGGACCGUGAAGGUAAAGGUGCUCAGCUGAAGCACGCUCCUGCUCACACACAGGAUCUCACGGGGUCUUUAGUUACAGCUGAGCAAAUUUUUCUUUAUACAUGGAAUGAAUUUUGCAAAAAAAAAAAAGGCUUUGGAUUUUUUUUUUUUUUUAGUGUUUUUUUUUUUUUUUUUUUUUUAGUUUUUUGAGACAAGGAGACAGCUUGGCCAGGGGUUAAUAAAAGCAUUGAAUCUUCCCAAUGCUUCCUCCACCCACACCCAGAGCCUGUUUUAACAGUAGUGUAGUACUGCAUAUAGUUUUGGUUGGUCUUUUGUUUUUGUUACCUAAAACUGCUUAAUGUGUCUAUUAACCCAGGUAUUGGUUAAAAAAACUGCUCUCUAUUUAAAAAGAUGUGGAGGAAAAAAGGUCUUGGUAAUGCAAAGGUUUUAGUCUGGAGAACAAAGAAAAGUUCAGUUAUUUUGCUUUUUGAAAAAAAAAAAUCACUAAUCCCGGCGUGCUUUGGUUUGAUCUGAACCAAAUUCUAUUUCAAGUUCUGACAUCUGCCUUUGACUUGGAGAAAAAAAACCCCAACCCAAGAGCCUAUAAUAAUAACAACUGUAAUAAUAAUUGUUAUUAUUUUAAAUUUUGGUACAAAAGUCCAUGGAUUUAGGGGAGGGUGGCUGUUUCCACCAGCUUAGUAAAACUAUUCACAUGGUCAAAGUUAAGCACGCAGCUAAAUCAUUUGAGGAACAAGACUUUCUGCAGGCAGAUAAGAGCCUAAUGACACGAUGAUGAGAGCCCAGACUUCCACAGAUAGCAGAAACUAAUAUUUGUGAUGCAACAGUCUUGCAUUAUUCAGUAGUUAAAGAUAAUUCUAAGAAACAGAACAGCUUGAGAAUUAGCAAAACUAGCAAUAAAAUAUUCUUAGCUGACUCCGGGGGGAAGUAAAUUGCCAUGUACAGGAUUUGCAUUCAUCUUAAUGUUUAUUAAAAAUGAGACAGCGCUGCUUUCCGCAUGCUCGGCUGGAAUAGCUCCACGGCUUGCUGGAACCGCGCGUCCUUCCCGGUCCUUGCUCAGCCCCGGGAGCCUGCGGGACCUGCUGAGGCCUCUCGCUAACUCAUUGCAUGUGUGGGUUGACGUUGGGGUGAGGGUGAUGGAAACCCAACUACCCGCUCAGAGCCUGCUGAGCGAGUAAAGACCCCGGCAGGCGCCUCAAUUGUGCUAAAGCACAAAGAUCUUGCGUCGCACGAGCGAAAUCGCCACCCGACGGAUUCGCACCAACAGUUUAGUGCGGCACGAACACGGCCGUGGAAGGAGGAACCUGCACGAUGGCCUCCUUGCUGCUCGAAACUACUACGUGGGCUGGGGGGCGAGCCACGCUUCUUGCUUUAAUGAAUGCAAAUUUCCCACCACCACGCAAGUGGAGAAGCAGCCGGGAUCUCCGAAAACCCCACUGAUGUCUGCGUACGUGGACCCACACCUGCAACCAGGCACCCGUUUACCGGCCCCCUGCAAGCGUUAGGUGCCAUUAGCGAAUGAGCUGGGGUGCGCAUGUGGGGAAGGACGAUGAAAUGAAAGAAUAAAAAUACUAAAAAAAAAAAAGCAAGUGAGACUAUUCAAAAGGGGGACUUUAUUUUUAUUACACUGGAGCCAGGCGUCAGUGCGCCAGUUCAGCUUUGAUACACAAUAAAUCAGCAAAGCUGUCACUCAGUUUGGAAACCAAGAUUGCAGUGGCACUAAAAACACAUUGAAAACAUUUACUUUCUUCCCUUUUUUUUUUUUUUUUUUUCCUCUUUUGUUUUUGGUACAAAAAUGGUACAAACAACAAUACAAAAUAUUUGUGCUGUUGACGGUUACAAAAAAAGGUUUUUGAACUGGGUUAACGGACGCAAACUGCUUUUGCGCUUCAGCGUGAAUACAGCAGAACAGCAGAAGUCUUCCUUGAGAACAACCACAGUCAUGCGGGCUGCUACACAGCUUCUCCAUCAUAAAAGGAAACAUGCAAAAUCAUAAUUAAAAUAAAAAAAAAAGAAAGAGAAAGUGCUCCAAUUAUACACCUAUAUGUUGUUGUUUUUUCCCCUAUUUGAUCUGUAGCUUCAAGCACUAACUACAUUAUGUACACAUUGUGUGAGCAUUUGUAUAUGGGGUUGGUGUGUACUGGAAAGAACUUUUAUUUUCCCCAUGAAACUGAGUUAACUUUGCGUGGGAGACACCUAUGUUGUCUAGCUGCUGUUUUAAACAUACGCAUUCAUCGUUAUACAGCAUUCCCCCCCCCAACAUUUUUUUUUCACACUUACAAUGAAGAGCUCUAAAAGACAUCACAAAUAAAAGUCCCGUAUUUUACCUUUAA